rnacentral:rRNA from 1 species
GGAGGGGGCAAGCGUUAUCCGGAUUUACUGGGUUUAAAGGGUGCGUAGGUGGGUAGGAAAGUCAGUGGUGAAAUCUUCGAGCUUAACCCGGAAACUGCCAUUGAUACUAUUUAUCUUGAAUACUUUGGAGGUAAGCGGAAUAUGUCAUGUAGCGGUGAAAUGCUUAGAUAUGACAUAGAACACCAAUUGCGAAGGCAGCUUACUACACAGUUAUUGACACUGAGGCACGAAAGCGCGGGGAUCAAACAGGAUUAGAUACCCUGGUAGUCCACGCCGUAAACGAUGGAUACUCGACGUCGGCGAUACACUGUUGGUGUCUGAGCGAAAGCAUUAAGUAUCCCACCUGGGAUGUACGAUCGCAAGAGUG